GUCGAACGAUUAAAGCUCCCUUCGGGGAGUGCAUAAAGUGGCGCACGGGUGAGUAACACGUAAGUAAUCUACCUCUGAGUGGGGAAUAACGUCCGGAAACGGACGCUAAUACCGCAUAAUGCAGCGGCACCGCAAGGUGACAGUUGUUAAAGAUUUAUCGCUUGGAGAGGAGCUUGCGGCAGAUUAGCUAGUUGGUAAGGUAAUGGCUUACCAAGGCAACGAUCUGUAGCCGGUCUAAGAGGACGGUCGGUCACACUGACACUGAAUAACGGGUCAGACUCCUACGGGAGGCAGCAGUCGGGAAUUUUGGGCAAUGGGGGAAACCCUGACCCAGCAACGCCGCGUGAAGGAUGAAGUAUUUCGGUAUGUAAACUUCGAAAGAAUGGGAAGAAUCAAUGACGGUACCAUUUAUAAGGUCCGGCUAACUACGUGCCAGCAGCCGCGGUAAUACGUAGGGACCAAGCGUUGUUCGGAUUUACUGGGCGUAAAGGGCGCGUAGGCGGCGUGACAAGUCACUUGUGAAAUCUCCGGGCUUAACCCGGAACUGCCAAGUGAUACUGUCGUGCUAGAGUGCGGAAGGGGCAAUCGGAAUUCUCGGUGUAGCGGUGAAAUGCGUAGAUAUCGAGAGGAACACCUGAGGUGAAGACGGGUUGCUGGGCCGACACUGACGCUGAGUGCGCGAAAGCCAGGGGAGCAAACGGGAUUAGAUACCCCGGUAGUCCUGGCCCUAAACGAUGAAUACUUGGUGUCUGGAGUAAUUUGUGCUCCGGGUGCCGUCGCUAAC
rnacentral:rRNA from 1 species